rnacentral:misc_RNA from 1 species
GAAAUUGACGAACACGUGACGCGGUCGGGCGGACCACUGCAGACUGAGCGGUGGACCGAAUUGGGACCGCUGGCUUAUAAGCGAUCAUGUUUCUCCAGUAUUACCUCAACGAGCAGGGAGAUCGAGUCUAUACGCUGAAGGUGAGGAGAGAAAACAGGGUGUAAAUAGGCAUGGCGAGAAAUGUAGAUGGGAGGAGUGGGUGAGGUCAUACGUGGAGUUACCUAGCUGGGUGCGGGGAACCAGAAAGUCCAGAACCGAGAUGACAAAUACUCUCGACACCGAAUCACCAUCAAGAAACGCUUCAAGGUGCUCAUGACCCAGCAACCGCGCCCUGUCCUCUGAGGGUCCCUUAAACUGAUGUCUUUUCUGCCACCUGUUACCCCUCGGAGACUCCGUAACCAAACUCUUCGGACUGUGAGCCCUGAUGCCUUUUUGCCAGCCAUACUCUUUGGCAUCCAGUCUCUCGUGGCGAUUGAUUAUGCUUGUGUGAGGCAAUCAUGGUGGCAUCACCCAUAAAGGGAACACAUUUGACUUUUUUUUCUCAUAUUUUAAAUUACUACAAGAUUAUUAAAGAUAAAAUGAUUUGAAAAA